AAUAGGAUUUCCUAAUGAAAGCAACUUCAGCUUUGUCUCCUCCGCUGCCACCACCAAAAUGUCGCUUCGCACCCUUCAUAACAAAGACCGUCACCAGCUCGUCCUCUGGGUGAUCAAUAUUCUUCACCGGUGUGUAUUUCAGUGGAGGUUUAAGAGUUUGGGAUAAACUCGAAAAGGGGUUAGAACUGGGUAUUUAAGUUUUGUAGCUCACAAGUUUUCCUUGCAUGCUGAUACAUUCAAUGUAUUGAUCUGACGCCAUUUGGACUGCAUUGUUUCAUGAUGGAGAUACAAGUAUUCAAGAUCAUCAACCGGUACUCUGUUGAUCUAGUCAUAUUCCAGCUAGCUUUGCUACAGAUCUUAAGCUUUGGCCUAUGAAGAUUGAGCCACGAGCAUGUCAUGAGACGAAAAUGUGUAGAUGCGAUGGAGAACUUUAUUAUUUUAUUUUAUUUUACAUGUAAUAAAGCUUAAGUUUAUUUUUGUACUUAAUUUGGGUAAUAGAUUCAUUUAAUUAAUUAAAGAGAAAUGGCAUGACAUAUUUUG